rnacentral:rRNA from 1 species
UUCCGGUUGAUCCUGCCGGACCCCACUGCUAUCGGGAUAGGACUAAGACAUGCUAGUCAAGCGCUUUCUAGCUAAUAUGAAAGUGCGGCAUACAGCUCAGUAACACGUGGCUAACCUGCCCUUGGGACGGAGACACCCCCGGGAAACUGGGGUUAAUUUCCGAUAGGUGAAAAAUUCUGGAAUGAAUUUUCGCUCAAAAGAGGUUUAUGUUAUGCUCAUAUUCUUCGCCCAGGGAUGGGGCCGCGACCGAUCAGGUUGUUGGUGAGGUAAUGGCUCACCAAGCCUUUUACCGGUACGGGCCGUGAGAGCGGGAGCCCGGAGAUGGGCACUGAGACAAGGGCCCAGGCCCUACGGGGCGCAGCAGUCGCGAAAACUUUGCAAUACACGAAAGUGUGACAAGGCUAUCCCGAGUGCCAUCCGCUGAGGAAGGCUUUUACCCAGUAUAAAUAGCUGGGAGAAUAAGGAGAGGGCAAGUCUGGUGUCAGCCGCCGCGGUAAUACCAGCUCUCCGAGUAGUGUGGAUGUUUAUUGGGCCUAAAGCAUCCGUAGCUUGCUAGGCAAGUCCCCUGUUAAAUCCACCGAUUCAAUCGAUGGUUUGCGGGGGAUACUGUUUGGCUAGGGGACGGGAGAGGUCGACGGUAUUUCCGGGGUAGGGGUGAAAUCCUAUAAUCCCGGGAGGACCACCAGUGGCGAAGGCUGUCGACUAGAACGCGCCCGACGGUGAGGGAUGAAAGCUGGGGGAGCGAACCGGAUUAGAUACCCGGGUAGUCCCAGCUGUAAACGAUGCAGGCUAGGUGUUUGGGCGGCCACGAGCCGCCCUAGUGCCGCAGGGAAGCUGUUAAGCCUGCCGCCUGGGGAGUACGGCCGCAAGGCUGAAACUUAAAGGAAUUGGCGGGGGAGCACCACAAGGGGUGAAGCUUGCGGUUUAAUUGGAGUCAACGCCGGA